GGCGGACGGGUGAGUACGCGUGANAAUCUGCCCUCAGGAGGGGGAUAACGGUUGGAAACGACCGCUAAUACCCCAUAUGCCGAGAGGUGAAACGAAAUUCGCCUGAGGAUGAGCUCGCGUCUGAUUAGCUAGUUGGUGUGGUAAUGGCGCACCAAGGCUUCGAUCAGUAGCUGGUCUGAGAGGAUGAUCAGCCACACUGGGACUGAGACACGGCCCANACUCCUACUGGAGGCAGCAGUGGGGAAUUUUCCNCAAUGGGCGAAAGCCUGACGGAGCAACGCCGCGUGAGGGAUGAAGGCCUCUGGGCUGUAAACCUCUUUUCUCAAGGAAGAAGAUCUGACGGUACUUGAGGAAUAAGCCACGGCUAAUUCCGUGCCAGCNGCCGCGGUAAUACGGGAGUGGCAAGCGUUAUCCGGAAUUAUUGGGCGUAAAGCGUCCGCAGGCGGCCUCGAAAGUCUGUCGUUAAAGCGUGGAGCUUAACUCCAUUUAAGCGGUGGAAACUACGAGGCUAGAGUGUGGUAGGGGCAGAGGGAAUUCCCGGUGUAGCGGUGAAAUGCGUAGAUAUCGGGAAGAACACCAGUGGCGAAGGCGCUCUGCUGGGCCAUAACUGACGCUCAUGGACGAAAGCCAGGGGAGCGAAAGGGAUUAGAUACCCCUGUAGUCCUGGCCGUAAACGAUGAACACUAGGUGUCGGGGGAAUCGACCCCCUCGGUGUCGUAGCUAACGCGUUAAGUGUUCCGCCUGGGGAGUACGCACGCAAGUGUGAAACUCAAAGGAAUUGACGGGGGCCCGCACAAGCGGUGGAGUAUGUGGUUUAAUUCGAUGCAACGCGAAGAACCUUACCAGGGCUUGACAUCCUGCGAAUCCCUUGGAAACUAGGGAGUGCCUUCGGGAGCGCAGAGACAGGUGGUGCAUGGCUGUCGUCAGCUCGUGUCGUGAGAUGUUGGGUUAAGUCCCGCAACGAGCGCAACCCACGUCUUUAGUUGCCAGCAUUAAGUUGGGCACUCUAGAGAGACCGCCGGUGAUAAACCGGAGGAAGGUGUGGAUGACGUCAAGUCAUCAUGCCCCUUACGUCCUGGGCUACACACGUACUACAAUGCUACGGACAAAGGGCAGCAAACUCGCGAGAGCUAGCAAAUCCCAUAAACCGUGGCUCAGUUCAGAUCGUAGGCUGCAACUCGCCUACGUGAAGGAGGAAUCGCUAGUAAUCGCAGGUCAGCAUACUGCGGUGAAUACGUUCCCGGGCCUUGUACACACCGCCCGUCACACCAUGGAAGUUGGCCACGCCCGAAGUCGUUACUCCAACCCGCAAGGGAGGAGGAUGCCGAAGGUGGGGCUGAUGACUGGGGUGAAGUCGUAACAAGGUAGCCGUACCGGAAGGUGCGGCUGGAUCACCUCCUAACAGGGAUACAAAAACCGGCUUUGAUGUCUGACUAAUUUAAUGUUAGACCGAAGUCCUGUCAUCUUUAAGGUCGAUCGGUACCUCAGUUGACAACUUAAGAGCUUAGUCUGCUUAAGAAGUCAAAUCAGUUCCUAAACUUUGUCUAGGUCACCCCCGGCGGGGUUGUCCCGAGAGGGGCAAGUUUCAAGGCUAGUCCUUGAAGCCAAAGCCAUCAUGGGCCAUUAGCUCAGGUGGUUAGAGCGCACCCCUGAUAAGGGUGAGGUCCNUGGUUCAAGUCCAGGAUGGCCCAUUCGUGUUUGGGGGUUUAGCUCAGUUGGUAGAGCGCCUGCUUUGCAAGCAGGAUGUCAGCGGUUCGAGUCCGCUAACCUCCACUCCAACUGUACUUCCAAGCCAAGAAAACGACGGCUUACCAAUCGGUAAGGUGAUCCAGACAGGUUAAAAGCUAUUGAAUCUAGCCUCCAAUCAUUCCAAGGUAAUAGAAUACCUGGUUGAAUGGAUGCUGGACUGA
rnacentral:rRNA from 1 species